AUGUACGCAAUCGUUGAAUUCCUUGAUGAUCAAGAAGUUGCGGUUGUAAAUGCUGAUUGGGUGUUGCCAAAUGGAUUCUGUUUUUGGCCACCAUUUUAAGAAUGCCAGUAAAUUGUGUCAUCAACUGUGUGGAAGCAGAUGAAAUUUGGCCGAAACUUAAAGUUCGCAAAUUCUCAGAGACCAGUGACUACAGCAAAGCAAGAGAAAGAGUGGCAAGGACAGAAGAAACCUCGCAAGUUGAAUCACAUGUGGAAGAGAUCCAGGCGAGGAAAAGAAGGCAACCUAUUCGGUUCAUUGAAUCCUCCAGUGAUUCUGAAGAUGAGCAUCAAAAACCUCCAUCACCACCAAAAAUAAACACUCCCAGAUUAAGCAUGAACUCGCCAGUGACACCAUCUACACCUCAGCGGUCAGUAGAGCAAAUUAGACGACAAUUUACAACAGGUGCUGGCCUAAUUUCCUCCACCCCAUUAGCAGCCCCUGAACGACCAAUAGCACCCAAACCAGUAGCACCAGCUUACAUGUUGCAAAUAAUUACGAUGCUUGAAAAAAUAAACCAAAGGAUGGACGAUAUUGAGAAAACCCAACGGGAGCAAAACGGGAAAUUAAACCAACUUUUGAUUGUUGCUGGUGUCGCUGGACCAGAAUUAGAACUCCCAGCAUCACUUAAAUUGCCUAUCAGAUCAGUACAAUCGUAGAAUGUAAUAGUGUAAUGAUUUGCUGAAAGACAAGAGCACAAAAGAGAGUUUGAUCUUACAUUUGAGUACCAUUGGGGGUACAAAUGCAAAAGAAGUGACGAAAAGAAUUAUGAAAGUACUCUGAUUCACAACGAUGUAUACAGAACACAGAUAGUGCGAAAUGGGAUAGAGAAAUGGGAUUUAACGUCCACUCGACACAAACUGGGUCAUUUUGGGACUAACAUGGUUUAAUUUUAUUUCAAUAAUUCGCUUGCGCAUUUGGGUCUUUAGCAGUGGGAGGAAACCGGAGAAUACCCACAAGGUUGGACAGGCGACCCUACUCCUUGUCACGUACAACUAGGGAUUCAAAACCAUGCCAGUUGACUCAAUGACAUGCCUUAUGAUACAGCAUGCACGUGUUAACCUUGCCCACCCCCCCCCCCAUUUUUUGGAAGAGUUAUUUAUUUCAUAAAUUUUUUUCAGGGGCUGUACGAAAAAAUCCUAUGACCAUGCAUGCAACAGAUUUAGAAAUAAAUGAAUGUAUAAAAAAUUGGCUGCGUUAUGCUCCAGAAAGAAUAAAAAAGGGUAUUUUGUAAAUAUGUAAUUUGUCAUAACUUUUUUCUGUAUGUGUAUGUGUAAGUUAUAAUUUUGGUAAUUUUUAUUUUUGGGAAAUAUGUACAUGCACUAGCUCUGAUUAUCACCCUCGCGCUUAGUAGCUGCACUUGAGAGCUCUGUCAAUUUAUCUAAUAUUUUGAAAGUAAUACUGUUCCUAUUGGUGUGAUGAUUAGCAAGGAAGUGUUUGAGGGUCUGAAGACAUUUUUGUUAUGAUCUUUCAUACAUUGGAUAGGUGCAGCCUAGAUUUUCAA